GCAGGUUCCACCUGCAGCACAAAACCCCUCAGCUGCUCCUGGACACGGCUCUUUCCUUCCCCACGUUUUGGAGGAGCACAGGAAUUCUACAGCGUUUGUCAGCUUUCCUGAGGGCCCCAGCCCUGGACCCAGCAGUGCCAGCAGCCCCCUGGGAUGGCCCCAGCACAGCCAGCUGACUGGAACUGCAAUUGGAGCUGCAGUUGCACUGCUACUUGAAGUAGUUGUUCUGUUUGUCAUGUGUGGGAUAAGGAGACUAUCAAGUACUUACCAUAACAACUUCAGCCCCACGUGCCUCAGUACAGGUUUCGCAAGAGGGACAAAGUGAUGUUCUACGGGAGGAAGAUCAUGAGGAAGAGCUCCUGCAGGACUGACUGCAUUGCUGAUGGAGCAGCAGCAGCUUCUCGUUCUGGCCAGACCUUUCCUCCUUGAAAAAUACUUGCAGUCAAUGAGGGUAGCAAUAAAUCAAUGAGUAUCUAACUCCUGUAGGGACUUUAAAUGUCCCAGAAUCCCAGACUGGUUUGGGUUGGAAGUGACCCUAAAGACGAUCCUGUUCCACUACCCAGAUUGUUCCAAGCCCCAUCCAACCUGGCCUUGGGACACUUCCAGGGAUGGGGCAUCCACAGAUUCUCUGGACCAUCUAUUGAAUAUCUGAGAGUUGUUCUUACCUGUUAAGGUGCCUAAUUUCCCUCAAACUUUGUCUGAGAAGAUCAAAAUGCUGCUUUGACUCCCGCCCUUGGUGCCUAAAUGGAGAGAUCUGGUUAUUUUCAGCCUAGAAUGUAUUUGAGCUUGCCCAAACACCCGAGCUCUGAGCAGGGCAGCCCUGCCCAGCCAGCCCAGGGCUGCAGGGUGGGUGGCUCUGCCAGGGGCACAGUGCCUCAGCUCCCAGGGGCAGUGACAGACCAAGGGGCAAAGGCACAGGAUGCAAGGGACAGGCCCACCAGGCACAAGGAUAAAGUUCUUCAUGGGCACAGAACAGCCCUGGGACAGGGUCAGGGAUGGCAUUUCCAACCCUGGAAAUUUUCAAAGCCCAGAGCACCCCAAGGGAACUUAGAAAUCAGCUCAGCUUUAAGUGGGCAUGUUGGUAAGGGACCUAUAAAGGCUUCUCCCAGCCUAAAGCAUCUGAUUUGAACACUGAGAUGAAAAAGCUGUUUAUUGAAAUGCAGCACCAACCAACAACCCCAGGCCCACUGAGGUCCCACCAGCACAAGAGGAUUUGGGCUAGAACUUUUCCAGCAUUUCCAGAAACUCCCUUAAAAAAUCUUUUUUUAUUGGUCUGUGGCUGCCCCCUCCAACCCCAGGGGUCACAUCCUCCCCAAAGAGCUACUGAACAACCACACCAAAGUGUCAUUUCUCAGGGCAGACACCUGGGUACAUAAAAAAGAAGUGGAAAUUCACUUUUAUCAAGGUUAUCGUUAGAAUUUAUUGAUAUGAGACAAACUUUGUAUGUCACCAUGUCAAUGGAGGAACAGCAUGUCCAAUGUCACAGAAGCACAGAGCCCACCCAGGGACUCUCCCUGCCCUGGGAGCUCCCAGCUCUGGAGCACAGGAGGCCACACACCCAGCUGGGUGGCACUGGGGACAUUUCCUGGGCAGGAAUGCUCCAGAAAUACCCUGGCUGAGAGGAUUGCCAGACUGCAGCACCCAGCAGGGACCUGCUGGCUCUGACUCCAGCAGGGAAAGGCAGCUCACCCCAGGCCCCUGCAGUCACAGGGGGAAAAGAAAGCCGAACAGGAGGUGAGAUUCCAGGAAUCCCUGCAGGAGAUGAGAGCACUUGGGCCCUCUGGCUCCUCAGCCCUAAAGGGGCUCAGAGGAGCAGCUGGGGUGGGGACAGAUCCCCAGCAGGACAGCCCAGGCAUGGCUGGAGCCUUCCCAAGGAGCAGACACAGCCAUGCCAUGCUCCAGCCUGGCAUCUGCCCAUUCAGAAGCAGGGUUCUUCUUUUAGCACAAUUGUGCCUGUGUUGUAACCACUCAGACAUUCCCCUCUCAGCAGUGCCCUCCCUCAGCACAGCCAGCCUGUCAUCUAUGCUUGUGGCUAUGAUGAAAAUUAUCUUUAUCAUCUUUACUGGAAAUACAUUUUAUGCUGGAUUCUACUUAAAAAAAAAAGCCAAGUGCUGAGCUUUCAUCUCCUCCCAGCUUAUGAAAUAUUUGGUUUGGUCCUAAGUAUCUUGCUAAAUGAUUAGAGGGAAUAGCAGAGUAUUCCCCAGGCACCUGGUAAAUCCACAAUGGAUUUAUUGUAGAAACACACUAAAUUCUCUAACUCACUCCAAAUGGAUUUCAGAGCCCUCUAAAACCCUGCAGAGAAUGAGCUGUUUGUGACAGGACACACAAAAAGCAACCCCAAGUUCAAUGAGUAACCGAGAUAAAGGACAGGCCACAGCAGGGGACGUGCCAGCCCAGCCCCUGUGACAGGGCAGGGACAGCCUGGCCAUGGCACCAACCUGCUGCACACCUGGAGAGGAACCUCAGGCUCCAGACACACACGUGUGACCUGUGUGCUCCUCCUGUCCCUCUCCUGGGAGCUGUGACAAGUGACAGAGAGGGCUCUGCUCUCAGCCAUCUGGUUCCACCCAGUCUAAGUUCCCUCUCACAUUGAUUUAGAGAUCUCAUAUUGAUGGGUAAUUAUACAGGAUUAAUUGCACAUCAGUCCAUUGUGGCUACAAGUUCAUUAGGUUAAUAACUCUACAUAGUGACAGUAGUACAGUAUCAGCUACUUCUCAAUACAAACUCCCUACCCUAACCUUAAUUUGUAGGUCAGAGGAAGACCUUCUAACACAGUGACCUCCCAAUAACCUUUAACAUUCAUUUCAAAAUCAUUUUUUCUAGAAAACAAAAAAAAAAAAAAAUCCAGUGUGGGGAAAACGCACAUAUAUAACCAAAGCA